CUCCUCUCCUCCCACCCACAUCGCCGCCGCUACCGCCGCCGCCUUCCUCCUCCCACACCCCCGCCUCCCUCUCCUCUUCCUCUCCCCUUAGCACCGCCCGCACCCGCGCCUCCCUCUCCUCCUCUCGCCCCUAGCACCGCCAUCACUGCCUCCUUCCCCGCCGCUGCCCGACCUCCUCCCCUUGCGUUCUCCUCAAUCCACCCAGUAGCUCAGGCAGCGGUCUGAUCUGGCGACCCCUUCCUCCAACUCUCGCCGGACGUCACCCGGAGUGGAGAGGAGAGGCAGAUCCCGCUGCCACCGGUGACCUCGCUCCCUCCCUCCUCAGAUGGACGGAAGGGGCAACACCGCCUAAAACCCUAGCCCCGCCCCUCACCCACCCAUGGAUGGACGGAUGGGGACGGGGUGAUGACGGCGACAACUUCUUUACUGCCGCGGCGGCGGCGGCCCUCGACACCGAUGAACGCUGGUUCUUCCUCCUCAUCCACGACGCCCAUCUCCGGCCAUGGCGACCUCGGAUCUCCGGCCCUAGUUGCUCAGAUGUUGUUUCUGCUACUGCAGGUGGACGUGGUGAGCUCCAUCCCAUCUUUUUACCCUGCUGAAGCACAUACUGAUUAUGUGGAGUUUUUCGAAUUGCCAGCUAUAAAGGUCAGGGAAGAAUAGCACAACAUGGAUCCAUAAACCCACUAAUGGCAAGGCAAUGUGUGCCAUGAUGAGAGAAACCCAAGUGAGCAUGGGAGUUUCCUCUUGGUGAUGAUAGCCAGUCGACGCCACCGUGGCAGUGUUCUUUGGCACUCAGGUCAACAUAGUAGGGUUGUCCUUGUCAUUGAUAGCAUCGGUUAACAUAGCGGCAGGGGUCGCGGUCGCCCGAGGAGCACAACCACACGGGGCUGGUCAUGCCGCUGCCAAAGAAGAGCGGAGGAGGUCGAUACAGGGUCGAGGGGCACGGGCGAGGUUCAUGCCGCACGGGGGCACGCGCCUCCAGCGAGAGAAGUCUUCUACUGUUCCCGUGCCGCCAGGCACCCCUCAUCGCCGCCCUACUUGUCCUCCGGUCGUCGGUGCUCUGUUGGUUGAUGGAUUUUUCUUAUCUGCCAGCAGACCGCACUGGAGGCUGCCGCCAUAUCUGAGGACAUCGUGAUGAGGUUGCCGCUUUGGCCAUAGCAGAGGGGAUCCGGCCGGCACGCCGCGUCUCCCAUAAACAUGCCUAAUUUUA